rnacentral:lncRNA from 1 species
AUGGUUCGUUGAUGAUCAAGUUUCCGGGUUAGUUCUUGAUCUAACACAUUGUGGACACUUUAAAUUUCUUGUACACAUUAUCAUAGAGGUACUCCGCCAGUAUAUGAAAGUUACUCUCUUUCAACAAUUUCAGUUACACGAGAAGUUACUCCAAUUGGAUGACAUUUGCGAUAGUGAAGGAAAGUAAACCUCCUUUCAAGCUAGUUUCGUUCACCUUGUUUUCAGAGAAUUCUGCCAAAUAAUUUGUGUUUAAAAGUGCAUCUUUUUUGUUUAACAGGGAGCAGGGCAUACUCCAUCGAAGUAUAAACCUCGUGAAAGUCUGGCGAUGUUUAUAAGGUGGUUGUCUUACCAACCUUUGUGAUCAACAAAUGUAUCACUAUCUGUUGGCAAAUCUGGCUACUGGACCAGUGAAGUCAGUUCAGAUUUAGAUUUAUUGGAAUAAUAAACGAGUUCUUUUUAUUUAGUAGUUUUAUCUAUUGUACUUACUAUUGAUUAUUGCAACGUUAACUGAAAGUACUUCCACUUGUAGAAAUUCAUUUAUCGUUGCUGUUAAUUCUUAUCAUUUGG